AGCGUGAUCUGUGUCGGUGUUGGGCGCUCUGAGGGCGCAAUCCGGCUACAUAGGUACAUAGAAACCUCUUGUGGCUAUAGUCCAUGGAUCGGUUUCGGCAGACAGGGAACAUGUAAAUUUUUAUAUGUCGGGCUACACAAAUCUCGUGAAGAGGCCAGUAGGACCUGUAAACAAACUCUCAUACACACACUCUUCACUCAUCGUGGCGCUCUCGCAUGUCUGAGGCGAUAUAUAAGAUCGAUGUCAUAUAUAAUACUGUAUUCGCUGGUAUUUUCGGUUGAUAUGUUUGAUUGCGUAGGACGCAAUGAA